GGAAAUCCAAUGGCCGCGGCGGUGCUGGCGGUGCUACUUCUGCUCUCCUGCAGCAGGGAGGCGGCAGGAAGCAAGGGGUUGUUCAUUCUGGACAAGUUCGAACAGCCGGUGUGGACCGACGCCGGCGAGGUCAGGGUGGUGCGCGGGCUCCGGUCACUGGAGCAUCCCCAUCCCAUCGACCUGGCCUUCAUCUCCAUGGAGCCUAACACCCUCUUUGUCCCACAGUACUUUGAUUCCAGCGUCAUCCUCUUCGUCCAAAGAGGUGAUGCCAAGAUCAGCUGGAUUUACAAUGAUGAGUUGGUGGAGAAGGAACUCAAGCACGGAGACAUCAACCGGAUCCCGGCUGGCUCCACCUUUUACAUUGUCAACACCGACAAAAGCCAGAGGCUGCAGAUUAUCGGCGCCAUUGACACAUCCGAGAGCUUAAUCUUUGGCGGCACCUAUAAUGCUUUCUUCAUCGGUGGAGGCCUCUACCCCAAAUCAAUCCUCGCCGGAUUCGACCCCAUCACCCUCGCCACUGCAUACAACGUCACGCCCGAGGAAGUCGCCAAGGUGAUAGGGACGCCGACCGGCGGCCCCAUCGUUUUCAACAACGGCAAGGCACCGGAACUCAACGGAGAGAUAGCAUCCAUAAUACAUGGAAAGAUGAGGUGGACGGAGAAAGGAUAUCAGAGUCGAACAUGGUCACCGAGGACGC
rnacentral:misc_RNA from 1 species